AGUGAACGCUGGCGGUGGGCCUAACACAUGCAAGUCGAACGGCAGCACAGUAAGAGCUUGCUCUUACGGGUGGCGAGUGGCGGACGGGUGAGGAAUACAUCGGAAUCUACUUUUUCGUGGGGGAUAACGUAGGGAAACUUACGCUAAUACCGCAUAUGACCUACGGGUGAAAGCAGGGGAUCUUCGGACCUUGCGCGAUUGAAUGAGCCGAUGUCGGAUUAGCUAGUUGGCGGGGUAAAGGCCCACCAAGGCGACGAUCCGUAGCUGGUCUGAGAGGAUGAUCAGCCACACUGGAACUGAGACACGGUCCAGACUCCUACGGGAGGCAGCAGUGGGGAAUAUUGGACAAUGGGCGCAAGCCUGAUCCAGCCAUACCGCGUGGGUGAAGAAGGCCUUCGGGUUGUAAAGCCCUUUUGUUGGGAAAGAAAAGCAGCAGGUUAAUACCCCGCUGUUCUGACGGUACCCAAAGAAUAAGCACCGGCUAACUUCGUG
rnacentral:rRNA from 1 species